rnacentral:piRNA from 1 species
UGGUGACACUAACGAUUGCUACUCGGUUC